AGCAGGUGUGCUGUUGUAGAAGUUCUACUCAGUCGACUUGAUGGCUCAUUGAUUGCAUCUGUGCCAGUCUGAUAACUGAACGCACAGUUACACAUAUACACUCAGUGUGUAUGUGAAGGGACCAAUGAACCUGGGACUGAGCUUCUUGCAGGGUAGACGCAUUCUGAUGUCCCGGGUCCCAGUGGAGCAUCUUAGGGUCAGCCGUCAUUCUGCGUCUGUGAAGAGCUCGUUGCAGCUGAUGGAGCUGCUCACCUGGCCCACGCAGAGAAGCUCCUUCGAGCAGAGGGUAUCCCCGCACCCUCAGGUCCGUCAGCUGUGCCUGGGAAAGCUGGUGGUGCCAUUUGGCCAGUAUGAGAAUGCACCAUUCCACUGGCUUGUGGCAAAUGGUAUGGGCUACAUGAAGUACGUACUUGACAAGCACAGAUCAGAGGUGACAAACCCACAGAGAAAGGGAGAGAUGAUGGACCAGUGGGUGAAAGACUACCUCACAGAAUAUGCAGAGAGCUUCCUACAAGUCUCCAGUCUCCUUGAGGCCAACAAUGACAGGUGUAUCUACGGUCAGAGAGGGUUUGCAGUUUACACCUUUCAGGAGAUGUGGGCAGCCAGUACCACACCCAAAAGGACAGGCCAGACCAAUUCAGUGAUGAGCAGAGGGUGAUAAUCCAGAAGGCAUACAGUUCUGUGAGGAGGUGGUUGCACACACCAAUGACCCACAUCACAAGUGUGCAGAUGAAGAGGUUCAAGAAAUAUAUUAAUGACAAGGAGCAACAACCACAGGCAAGCACCUCCAAGUGUGGUCCUUCGUCAUGGGCAGGCGUUGACGCUGAACUGAUAGCUGCAAGCCAGGCUGUGGAAGACUUGCUCAAGUCCCAAGAGUCCAGCAGUCAGACUAGCAGUCAGUCUCUGGAUUCCCAGCGCAGAGGUUCCCGACCCACAGACAAGACCAAGCAGCCUAAGCCCGCUGACCGCCCCAAGCAGGCUGCGUCCACUAGCCAGCCCACAGAGACCCCGUCCACAACCAAGGGUCAUGAUUAUCCCAUGGAAGAACCUCUGACUGACUCCCCUGUGGAGCUAGAGGGUUGGGUGCGUCUGUGGUAAAACCCCAGUGGCAUCCCAUCUGCUGACAUUUCAUGGCUCAAAGAGGACACAGAAAGAGGGCUGUUCACCCCCGUUCAAAUCUACAAGGACAACACUGGUCUGUAUAAGAGGCGACGGGUGAUGAAAUCAGACCGCAUGUGGUUUUACCCACCAGAACCUCCUGGCUAUGUCAGUGGUGCUCUGCCAACUCCACAGCUCUUUUUUCUGAGCUAAGUCUUUGUGUAGCGCUCUGUUGGAUUGUGGAGGUACUCCCUGAAGUGUCUUCGAGGUGAUGAGUGUGUGGGUAGAAGACGGAAUGUGCACCUUUACAAGUCUGGCUACCAUCACUGGGUAUAACCCACUUCACCUGUGUUAGCGUUAUUACAUCACAGGUGAAUAUUUACUACUAUGUACGUAAACAUGCAAGAAAAAAAGAGCACAGAAAGUCACAUGCUGCUAUUGGUCUUUAUUUGCUUAGAUUUUUUUCCCAUGUGUACUUUAGGUAUGUCACAUCUGUGAUGUGUCCAGCUGGUACACAGUGCUCACUGAGGUCUUGUGCUGCGGACCAUGUACAAAGGCAGCCAGGAGCGGAGAACGUGGCACAGUGGGUCGGUGGCUUGCAUGGGAUCCCGCUAUUUUAUCCCAACUUAGCGAGGCUCAUCAAGCUAUGUUCCCUGCCAUCCUCACCAGCAAAUGAGCAUUCUGAACAUAAUGUGUGCAUUUAACCAACUUGAAAAUAGUCACUCAAAUCAACCUCAACAUAUUGAUUGUGACUCUCCCGACAGGUGUGGUGUCGAUAGGAAUGUUGUGCGGCUUCUAAGGGACCAGACCGAAUGGAACACUAUGGUCAAGGUGUGGCGGCAGAUACAGGAGAAUCACGUUGAGGACUACCUUUAAUUUAAGGACCUGUACACCACACUCCUCAUGACUGUAGCGAUACCCGGAGGGAUUGUCUCUGCAUUUAGACACACAUUCCAGGCUCCGCCUCCUCAUAGAGAGCUUCCCUCCGCACGACUCCUGAGUGAUUCACCAGCAUCGGAAACGAGCAGUCCCAAAUAGUUUCAUUUGUGCUGACCUGUGAGGAGUCCACUGCAAAGCUGGAACCGAUGUGCCGUGAAGUCAUGGAAAGAUUCCGGCUGGCCAAUCAACCUGUCCCCAAAAUCUUGUACAUGGACAGUGGGUGUUGUCGAGCGCGGGGCCCAACAGCGGUGGAUACUUUGUUCCAGCCUUGGGUGGACAAUGGGAUGGUUGUGCGUCUGGGCAUCUUCCACUGGAUCCAUCGGUUUGACGCAGCCAUACGCACAGAGUCUCACUCCAAGUACUCUGUGUUCAAGUCUGCUCUAGCUGGGGCAGUGCUGGCCUAUAACCACGCAGACCUGGAGCUGCUUAUCAAGGCCGUUAGAGCCAAGGACAUGGCAACGCUGAAGUCUGUCUCAGAUGAGGAUGUUGUUCGCCACUACAUUUCUAGGGAGCAGCUCAAACACCAUGUGCGAGUGAGCCUCUUCAAAACACCUGAGGCCAUUGAUGGGAUGUGGGCAGGCCAGCAGUGACACCUGGAGUGCAUUCAGGAUCCACCAGACAUGAACAUGUAUAGGGUGGCGCGUACCACAACCAUCAACCAUGUGGACGUGUCCUACUACAAAUGUCUGCGUGGAAGCAACAGCCUGGAAGGAUUCCACAAAACUCUGUUGCACAUGAUUCCAGGUCCCCACUGUGCGGCACGUCCCUAUCAUGUUUACCUGAUAAGUGGCAUUGCACGGUGGACCUCAGACAGGUGUUUGGUGGCAAAGGACAGCACCACAGGACCUACUCGGCACCGCUGAUUGACCCCCUCAACACCCACUGUCAGCAGCUGUUUGGACAGACUGUGAAGGGGAAUUUCCCUUCCCCUGCCAACGAGUUGCUUGGGCUGGAGUACCUGUUCAGCCAGAGCACCAGUGAAUCCGGACCCUUCUCUCUUGAGGACAUUGUCAACGAUGGACCUGGUCCAGAGGAGGAGGUGGUUCAGCCUGGAGGCAGACGAGGCGUACCAGAGUGACGUGGAGGCACAUGACGAUGUGCUGGAUGCCGUCCUGCCCCACAUUACGCUCACCAGUGACAAAACCUCCACUGUUCACCCUCCGGCCUUUGAGGAUGCCUGCAGUCCAAACCCUCUUCCUGGCUUUCAAAAGUUGGAAAUGUUUUGCUCUGUGCUGGUGGAGAUUGGCCUGACAGAGGACAAGCUGUCACUUACCACUGAGCAGAGGAACAAGGUCCUCGAAGUCUGGAAUGCAGUGGAGGACCACGACAAGCAGCUGCAGCAUUUCAACCAGCUGUACACACUGGGGUAACAUCCUCUACUGCCGCACAAAAAGGGAUGAUCUUGUCGAUGCUGCUGUGAUACAUAGGGUAAAGAUGGCCAAGCGCUAUGCACCAGCACAACAGGGCAUCAGUGAUCAGCACAACAGGCUGAUGUACACACUGGUGAAACUGUUGUGGUUGCGCUCACCUCAAGGGUCUCGCAGCAGUCCUGAGAAGAGCACCAUCCUUAAAGCAUACGAGCGAAUCCAGUGUCAGAUUUUGGUGGAGGAUCCAGUCCUGUGCAAAGCAGGCAUUCCUCUCCCAAAGAUUAAGAUCAAGACUGUGCAGGACUUCAUCCGUUGCCAAGAGAGGCUCCUCAACCUGCACACCACAAAACAGCCAUCCACCAUCACAAAGACCACCUUCAUCUCAUCUGCAGACCUACCUCCAGCACCACACCAGCCAGCAGUCCUCCCUCCACCGGACUACCCCCUGAUGGAAUAUGGCAGGGACAAAGGUGUUAAAGGGAAGGACAGACAUAAUCAUGCCACUCUCCUGGCCUCGACCACCACUGCCACCUGUGCUUCUGCCAGUGAUAAAACCCAACCCACCUCUAUCAUCACCAGACCUGUGCCCUCCCUCUCUGCAUCUACAGCAACCCCUAGGAUUGCUGGCCCCUCCACACAGCCCAUUAUGCCUGCCAGUCAGGCUCUGCCUACAAUGCCCACUACUAUCGCACAGUACUGGCAGUCCUUCAUUCUGGGCUACAUCUACACAAUAUAAGUGUAAGGUGAAGGAACACUCCUCAGAAGUAGGAUGCAAACUGUCAACCCAGGUACAUAAAAAACACCAGAAAAACACUUUCUGCCCUGUAAACUUGAUGUCCACAGCUAAAGGUCUGGACAACAGAGAGUACGUCAGCUACGAACAGUUCACCUCUUGUGUUGAUAAGUUGGAGGAAUGAGCUUUAAAUAUGUCAUACAUCUGUAAAUAUGGUAGGGUUGCAUUGUACAUAUUGUAAAUAGUCUUCAUUUUUAUUACAUUUCAUUCUUAAUCAUGUUCGAUGUCCAUGUUAAAUUGUUUAAACUUUGUAAAAAUUGUAAAUCCUUUUCAUUUUCAUUUUCAUUCUUCAAUGGCUUCAAGAGCACAAUAAAUAGAUGAUCAUACAGAUGAUGUCAACACUGCAACAUUUGCUUUGAAUGGGGGUGAGCCAUACUGUAGACUCCUGUAGUCUCCUGCAAAUCUCGACUGCAUCAUUUCUGGUAGAGGGGGACUGCAUUCGCACUCUCACCUGUAAUCAUAUACAAAGACAAUCUUAAAGAUCUACAGGCAUAGAGGAAGAUGUAUUGCAGCUGGUGACCAAUGUGCAUUUUUAGGAUUUCAGAUCUGAUGCAUUAUGGUGUAUGUAUGCCUCUGCUGGAAGGCUCUGUCCUUUCUAUACUUGCAGUGUCUUGAAUUAACAACUUAGAUUUAUAAAGCACCUUUCAAGGGACCCAAUGACGCUUUACACAAAAAGAGAUAAUGUAAAAGACCAUAGGCCUGAGUGAGUAGGUGAGUUUUGAGGAGGUACUUAGUAUCAUUAAAGAAAUAUAUAUUAACACAAGUCUCAAAUGUUAAUGCUCAAAUUAAAUCAUAGUUUAAUCUAACUUUAUCAUCUUCCCCUUUAGUAGGGGGACACCACACAUCACUAAAAUUGAGGAAGUCAUUGUGAUACACAAAAUGACACAUUCAAUAACCAGAAAAGGGAUCUUGUCUUUCUUCUGGAUUCACCUCAUCAGGGUACUAAAUGAAGAGUAAGUGUGCUCAAUAUUUCAUAUAUGUGGUGAAUAAACUUUAUUUAUAAAUCUAUACCAUCUAUACUGAUUACUUUAAUAACAACAUUCUGGUAGUCACAAUACAGUUUGCCCACUUGGGAGAGCCACACACCACACUGUCGUGCUCUGACGCCUUUGACCACGUGGGGUGCUACUGUCACCCCAAACACUUUGGACCAAUCACAUUCAGGACGAAUGCACUACGAUACAGCUCAACCCUGCAGAAGAAGUCUAGUUUUAUCUAGUUUUAUUUAUUUAUUUGAUUUCUUUAUUUUCCUCCUUUCAGAGCUUACACUUCAAUUGAAAGUACCUUUCAGUAAACUUUAUGUCCUAAACAAAUUUACAAGCCAUCUGUACUUACUUUUCUCAAGUAAUAAUGAUCUGAGUACUUCUUCCACCACUGGUGUAACCAAGUAGAGAAACCAUACUUCUUGACAAGUAUAAAAAAACUGUAAUCUUUGUAAUCUGAAUACUUAUUUUUUAUAAAGGAAUCAAUAUUUGAACUA